GACGAACGCUGGCGGCGUGCCUAAUACAUGCAAGUAGAACGCACAGUUUAUACCGUAGCUUGCUACACCAUAGACUGUGAGUUGCGAACGGGUGAGUAACGCGUAGGUAACCUGCCUGGUAGCGGGGGAUAACUAUUGGAAACGAUAGCUAAUACCGCAUAAUAUUAAUUAUUGCAUGAUAAUUAAUUGAAAGGUGCAAUUGCACCACUACCAGAUGGACCUGCGUUGUAUUAGCUAGUAGGUGAGGUAACGGCUCACCUAGGCGACGAUACAUAGCCGACCUGAGAGGGUGAGCGGCCACACUGGGACGGAGACACGGCCCAGACUCCUACGGGAGGCAGCAGUAGGGAAUCGUCGGCAAUGGACGAAAGUCUGACCGAGCAACGCCGCGUGAGUGAAGAAGGUUGUCGGAUCGUAAAGCUCUGUUGUAAGAGAAGAACGGGUGUGAGAGUGGAAAGUUCACACUGUGACGGUAUCUUACCAGAAAGGGACGGCUAACUACGUG
rnacentral:rRNA from 1 species